AUUGAACGCUGGCGGCGUGCCUAACACAUGCAAGUCGAGCGGCAGCGCGGGAGCAAUCCUGGCGGCGAGCGGCGGACGGGUGAGUAAUGCUUGGGAAUCUGCCUGUUAGUGGGGGACAACCCGGGGAAACUCGGGCUAAUACCGCAUACGCACUACGGUGGAAAGCCGGGGACCGCAAGGCCUGGCGCUAACAGAUGAGCCCAAGUCGGAUUAGCUAGUUGGUAGGGUAACGGCCACCAAGGCGACGAUCCGUAACUGGUCUGAGAGGACGACCAGUCACACCGGAACUGAGACACGGUCCGGACUCCUACGGGAGGCAGCAGUGGGGAAUAUUGGACAAUGGGGAAACCCUGAUCCAGCGACGCCGCGUGGGUGAAGAAGGCCUGCGGGUUGUAAACGU
rnacentral:rRNA from 1 species